rnacentral:snRNA from 1 species
AUCACUUCUCGGCCUUUUGGCUAAGAUCAAGUGUAGCAUCAAGCCUGCCUCCAACUCCACAAGUGGAGGAAAAUUCAGGCAUUUUAUUGGAUUUCAGAAUUCUCCAAGAACUCUUAAGAAAGCAGAAAUUCACGGGUUUUUGGCAUUUCAAGAACUCACUGUUG